rnacentral:sRNA from 1 species
AACCUGCCGCAGGUUCGGGUCGAACGCAGUGAGACAACGGAGCCGUUUACGGCGACGGCCCGAAGGGCGAGCGAGGCGAGUCAUCCUGCACGACCCACCA